ACAGACCAGUACGCUCACAUAGUGUUCACUGUGGUGAAGAACACGAUGACAUCGGAGGUGCUGCACGACCACGUGGAGGCUUCCUACAUCACCGUGGAAACAGCCUCCUUCUAUGGCGUGAAGGCGGAGCCUACCAGGGUCACGGUCAACUCCCAGGAUGCUGCAUUCACCUACAGAGCCAAUCAGGUGUUGACUGUAACAGACCUAGGACUGAAUCUCAGCCAGAACUUCACCAUCAGUUGGAUCUAACAGGUUUUCCCAAAAAUGGGAAUUCUGACCUUGGGAAUGUUGAUGUUUUUCCUUCCCUGACGGUCUCUACUGCUUUACUCCCCAUGUCUGUGACCCAAAUGGCACCCUAUUCCCUAUAUAGUGCACUACUAAUGACCAGGGCCCUUGUGUAUAGGGUGCCAUUUGCCAAUCAGUAUUUAUUUUAGCUGAUUUUAUGGUAUAAACAUCUAUGACAUUUUAUAUGGUAUUUAAAUGUUAAAUGUCUAUAAUAAUGCCACCACAA